AUAAAUGUACAUAGGUUUAAUCACACUUCAGAUAAGAUACUCAUAUCAUUUUCCAUAGAUAAUCAAGCUGAAUCAAUUUCCCUUUUUCAGUUAACAUUUGUCUGCCAGAACGUAAAGGUGGGUCAAACCAUUGACAAGCCCCAGGAACUUAGAUCCGAUAACUGUGAUAAUAUGGAAAAGAAGAUCGAAAUUCGAAUUCGAAGAAGUCCAAAAGCUCACAGCCCACGGGCGACUCGGCGACUAAAUAAAUAUUACCGAAUUAAGGGAGCGCCCCUCCAGCCUUCAUCCUCCAGCCACCAGCUCUGCUCGUACUUUACAAUAUAUGUAUGUAUAUUAAAAUAUUUCUAUGCUAACACUUUUUGUUUUUUUUUUUGUUUUUUUUUUGUAUUUUUUUGCACACUUUCCCGGCUACAUAAACCAUAUCUUAUUCAUACAAAACAAAUACUUAAGACUACGUAUUCGGAUGCUGCAUUUUUGGCUAGUAUUUAAGCUAAAAACAAGAACAAUUAAAGGAGAAGGCAAUUACAAUCCUUACCAAGAUAUCCCCCCGCCCAACUGAAAUAAACGAAUACCCUUAGGUGCUAUACAAUCAUCACGUGUAACGGACUCUGUGGGUGGCAAAGCGAAGGACAAAGGACAUACUCCAGCGGCAUUCGAUCACACACAAGCACACACCUUAUCCGUAUAUGUAUUUAGGCCUAGGUUAACAGGUUUUUUUUGGUUUUUUUGAGUGUUAUAGAUGCUCCGCGAGUCAAGAACAGCUAAAAUCAACCGCUGAACAAAAGGUAUACUAGACACAAUUCAGUUAUUGGAGAUAUACAUAUUAGUACAGACAAGACAAGAACAGUUGUUGCUUACGUUAUGCUAUUUUACGAGUAUAUUCUAUAAUAUUUGUAAUAA